UCUUUUUUUUUUUUUUUUUUUUUUUUUGAGACAGAAUCUUACUCUGUUGCCCAGGCUGCAGUGAGCCAAGAUCACACCAUUGCACUCCAGCCUGGGUGACAAGAGCAAGACUCCAUCUCAAGAAAAAAAAAGAAAAGAGAACUUGUUAGACUUUGAUCAAUAGGAUCGAUUAUAUACAGCAGGGGUUUGCAUCUUUGGUUGCACAUUAGAAUCCUCAGACACACAGGUACUGUACUGAGUUCUUUGCAAAUAACAAGCCCCACUGUUAUUGUUUCCCAUUUACAGGUAAGGACAUAUGGGGAAACCAAGACAUACAGCAAGUGAAUAACACAGCUAGUGAGUGGCAGAGCUGGGCUUUCAACUCAGGCUCUGGGUCCCACGUCAUUGC
rnacentral:lncRNA from 10 species